GACGAACGCUGGCGGCGUGCCUAAUACAUGCAAGUAGGACGCAGUUGCGAACGGGUGAGUAACGCGUAGGUAACUACCUAUUAGAGGGGGAUAACUAUUGGAAACGAUAGCUAAUACCGCAUACUAGUAGAUGGACCUGCGUUGUAUUAGCUAGUAGGUAGGGUAAUGGCCUACCUAGGCAACGAUACAUAGCCGACCUGAGAGGGUGAUCGGGCAAACUUGGACUGAGACACGGCCCAGAAUCCUACGGGAGGCAGCAAGAGGGAAUCCUCGGCAAUGGGGGGAACCCCUACCGAGGAACGCCGCGGGAGUGAAGAAGGGUUUCGGAUCGUAAAGCUCUGUUGUUAAGGAAGAGGUAAUUAAACAGAAAGGGACGGCUAACUACGUGCCAGCAUCCGCGGUAAUAC
rnacentral:rRNA from 1 species